GGAUGUGAGGGCAAUCUGGGUGCUACAUCUGUCACCCCACUGAUCGCCAGGGUUGAUUCGGCUGAUCUGGCUGGCUGGGCGGGUGGCCCCUUCCUCCCUCACCUCUCCAUGUGAGUCCCUCCAGAAGCUGCAUGUUCUGUCUGUCGAAGAGGACAGCACCCCUGAUGAAGGAGGACCUUUUCCCUGGUCAGCGGUAUAUGAGCAGCCGCACUUCCCUGCUAGAACCUCCGAACAAGCUCUCAAAUUCCAUUCCAGUGGCUAUUUCCCUUUGGACCUCCAGAAUAGACAAGACUAAGUAU
rnacentral:snRNA from 1 species